rnacentral:rRNA from 1 species
GACGAACGCUGGCGGCGUGCUUAACACAUGCAAGUCGAACGGUAAGGCCCUUCGGGGUACACGAGUGGCGAACGGGUGAGUAACACGUGGGUGAUCUGCCCUGCACUUCGGGAUAAGCCUGGGAACCUGGGUCUAAUACCGGAUAGGACCAUUGCCUGCAUGGGUGGUGGUGGAAAGCUUUUGCGGUGUGGGAUGGGCCCGCGGCCUAUCGACUUGUUGGUGGGGUGAUGGCCUACCAAGGCGACGAAGGGUAGCCGGCCUGAGAGGGUGACCGGCCACACUGGGACUGAGAUACAGCCCAGACUCCUACGAGAGGCAGCGGUGGGGAAUAUUGCACAAGGGGCGCAAGCCUGAUGCAGCGGCGCCGCGUGAGGGAUGACGGCCUUCGGGUUGUAAACCUCUUUCAGCACCGACGAAGCGCAAGUGACGGUAGGUGCAGAAGAAGGACCGGCCAACUACGUGCCAGCAGCCGCGGUAA